rnacentral:rRNA from 1 species
GACCAGACUCCUACGGGAGGCAGCAGUGGGGAAUAUUGCACAAUGGGGGGAACCCUGAUGCAGCGACGCCGCGUGGGUGAAGGAGCACCUCGGUGCGUAAAGCCCUAUCGGCAGGGAAGAAACAGACGGUACCUGACUAAGAAGCCCCGGCUAACUACGUGCCAGCAGCCGCGGUAAUACGUAGGGGGCAAGCGUUAUCCGGAUUCACUGGGUGUAAAGGGAGCGUAGACGGCGACGCAAGUCUGGAGUGAAAGCCCGGGGCCCAACCCCGGGACUGCCCUUGGAACUGCAUGGCUGGAGUGCGGGAGGGGCAGGCGGAAUUCCUGGUGUAGCGGUGAAAUGCGUAGAUAUCAGGAGGAACACCGGCGGCGAAGGCGGCCUGCUGGACCGCGACUGACGUUGAGGCUCGAAAGCGUGGGGAGCGAACAGGAUUAGAUACCCGGUA